GGGGGCGGUGUUGCAAUCUACUGCAGAGAUAGCCUGCAGAGUUCUGUCCUGCUAUCCAGGUCUGUACCCAAACGAUUUGAACUUCUACUUUUAAAAAUCCACCUUUCUAAAAACAAGUCUCUCACUGUUGCCGCCUGCUAUAGACCCCCCUCGGCCCCUAGCUGUGCUCUGGACACCAUAUGUGAACUGAUUGCCCCCCAUCUAUCUUCAGAGCUCGUGCUACUAGGUGACCUAAACUGGGACAUGCUUAACACCCCAGCCAUCCUACAAUCCAAGCUUGAUGCCCUCAAUCUCACACAAAUUAUUAAUGAACCCACCAGGUACAACCCCAUAGCCGCAAACACUGGCACCCUCAUAGAUAUCAUCCGAACCAACGUGCCCUCUAAAUACACCUCUACUGUUUUCAACCAAGAUCUCAGCGAUCACUGCCUCAUUGCCUGCACCCGUAAUGGGUCAGCGGUCAAACGACCUCCACUCAUCACUGUCAAACGCUCCCUGAAACACUUCUGCGAGCAGGCCUUUCUAAUCGACCUGGCCCUGGUAUCCUGGAAGGAUAUUGACCUCAUCCCGUCAGUAGAGGAUGCCUGGUUAUUUUUAAAAAAUGCCUUCCUCACCAUCUUAAAUAAGCAUGCCCCUUUCAAGAAAUUUAGAACCAGGAACAGAUAUAGCCCUUGGUUCUCCCCAGACCUGACUGCCCUUAACCAACACAAAAAUAUCCUAUGGCGUUCUGCUUUAGCAUCGAACUGCCCCCGCGAUAUGCAACUUUUCAGGGAAGUUAGAAACCAAUACACACAGGCAGUUAGAAACGCCAAGGCUAGCUUUUUCAAACAGAAAUUUGCUUCCUGCAACUCAAACUCUAAAAAGUUCUGGGACAUUGUAAAGUCCAUGGAGAAUAAGAACACCUCCUCCCAACUGCCCACUGCACUGAGGAUAGGAAACUCUGUCACCACCGAUAAGCCCACUAUAAUUGAGAAUUUCAAUAAGCAUUUUUCUACGGCUGGCCAUGCUUUCCACCUAACUACCCCUACUGCAUUCAACAGCACUGCACCCCCCACAGCUACUCGCCCAAGCCUCCCCCAUUUCUCCUUCUCCCAAAUCCAUUCAGCUGAUGUUCUGAAAGAGCUGCAAAAUCUGGACCCCUUCAAAUCAGCUGGGCUUGACAAUCUGGACCCUUUCUUUCUAAAAUUAUCUGCCGAAAUUGUUGCAACUCCUAUUACUAGCCUGUUCAAUCUCUCUUUCGUGUCGUCUGAGAUUCCCAUAGAUUGGAAAGCAGCUGCUGUCAUCCCCCUCUUCAAAGGAGGUGACACUCUUGACCCAAAUUGCUACAGACCUAUAUCCAUCCUACCCUGCCUUUCUAAGGUCUUCGAAAGCCAAGUCAACAAACAGA
rnacentral:lncRNA from 1 species